CACACACACAGACAUACUGACAUACACACAGACAGACGUACUGGCACAUACACACAGACAGACAUUAAAACAUUCACAGAUACAUACUGACACACACAUACACUUACACACACACACAGAGACAUACCUACAUACACACACACACAGACAUACUGGCAUACACACAGACAUACUGACACACACACACACACAGACAUACACAGACAUACACACACACACACACACACUGACAUACACACACAGACAUACUGGCAUACACACAGACAUACUGACACACACACACAGAGACAUACUGGCAUACACACAGACAUACUGACACACACACAGACAUACUGGCAUACACACAGACAUACUGACACACACACACACACACAGACAUACUGGCAUACACACAGACAUACUGACACACACACACAGACAUACACACACAGACAUACUGACACACACACACUGACAUACACACACAGAGAUACUGGCACAUACACAGACAUACACACACAGACAGACCUACUGACAUACAUUUAGCCACCCUCCAGGUUCUUACCUUUUCCUGGAGGGUGGUUUCCCUGGUCCAGUGGCAGGCUGAGGCAGAUGGGAGUUCUCCUCUUGAACUCCCCUCCUCCCUGCCUUCCUCCUCCCGCGCGGCUAUCUCCGGUGGGAGGAAGUGACGUCACUCC